UUUUAGAAGCUGAAGCUGCCAGCAUGAUCUGGUAAUCGCUACAUACGACAUACACACAUCACUAAACUUCUUUAUAAUUUAUGCACACACAUACAGCUCUUAAUGGCCACAACUCAAAGUUAUAAUUAGUGCAUGAUCUCUAGUUAUUUGACUGCUUUUAAUAUAUGUUUAUGGAUUCACGCAUGUGUGUGUAUGUACAUAAUUUACAUGCAUGCACUUUGUGUAUGGUACACAUCAAUUUGAACCCGUUCAAAAUUCUGUUUUUAUUAGUAUAUAUAUAGAUGUAUGUGGUGUGUGUGUCAGUGUGUGUGUGUGUUUAUAGAUAGUAGUACUAGGUCAUCCUGCAGCUUCAGUCACUAAAUCA
rnacentral:pre_miRNA from 14 species